rnacentral:rRNA from 1 species
GACGAACGCUGGCGGCGUGCUUAACACAUGCAAGUCGAACGGAAAGGCCCCUUUGGGGGUCCUCGAGUGGCGAACGGGUGAGUAACACGUGAGUAACCUGCCCUUGACUUCGGGAUAACUUCAGGAAACUGGGGCUAAUACCGGAUAGGAAUCCUUGCUGCAUGGUGGGGGUUGGAAAGCUUCGGCGGUUUUGGAUGGACUCGCGGCUUAUCAGCUUGUUGGUGGGGUAGUGGCUUACCAAGGCUUUGACGGGUAGCCGGCCUGAGAGGGCGACCGGCCACAUUGGGACUGAGAUACGGCCCAGACUCCUACGGGAGGCAGCAGUGGGGAAUAUUGCACAAUGGGCGGAAGCCUGAUGCAGCAACGCCGCGUGCGGGAUGACGGCCUUCGGGUUGUAAACCGCUUUCAGCAGGGGCGAAGCUUGUGGUGACGGUACCGGCAGAAGAAGCACCGGCUAACUACGU